rfam:Ictidomys tridecemlineatus contig123880, whole genome shotgun sequence.
GGGAUUGUAGCUCAGUGGUAGAGUUCUUGCCUAGCAUGCAUGAGCACUGGGUUUGAUCCUCAGCACCA